GCGAAAGUGGCGGAAUUGGCAGACGCACCAGACUUAGGAUCUGGCGAGCUUAGCUUGUGGGGGUUCGACUCCCCCCUUUCGCACCA
rnacentral:tRNA from 1 species